CUCAUCAGAAAACGUUCAGUGGCAACGUUGGUCCACUUGGAACGACGUUACCAUCUCACAAUCUGGCCUCUCAGAGUGUGAGAUGGUAACAUUUUGUCAGCCCAUUGUUUUGCAUUGGCGUGUUCUCACGUCACGUGACUCACAAGCUCCCGUCUGCGGAGAGGAAAACAUGGCGGAUAUUCCUUGUUCUCUCAGAUAAAAAUAUAGUUUUGUAACUUAGUUUGGGCAUAAAAAUACAUUCUGACACCAUUUCUAGCGAGAAAUGUGCUCUUUGCUUCCACAGUCUUCAGCCAGUUCGUGCUUAUGAUAAAUAUUUUAAUAGUUAUCGCGAAUGUUUUUAUCGUUGCUAUGAGGGUUGCUAUGACGCUGCCAUGCCAGCACGGCGCAGCGUGCUGUUAAAAUCACCGUCCCUGCGUGGUGUCCCUCAGUGAUCGUGAAUGUUAUUCACGUUAUAUAAUAUUAAUAUUUGAGGCUAGAUUACACCUCUAAUGCGAAGGAUCCUGCGAGACCGUUCAUCCCGAAGGGGGACCGACUGCGCCACGGACGGACCAGGCGAGCGGAACUGACGUGUGGCUUUUAGUAAACAUCCGGUUCUUUAACUCGGGGCUGCGUAGUAACCACCGAGCGCUGGGAAGACAAACGAUGUCAUCUUCCUUCUGUCAGGACGAUCCAAGUGAAGGUACAGGAGUUUCAUUAACGUCAAUAACUUGGACCGAACACUUUGUUUUGCUUGAUGAAGAGCAGGAAGGGCAGCCUGGAGAGAAAGAGAAGCCGGGUUGAGCCCACUACCAUCAUCCACGUACCACGAGGAAGAUGCGGGAGAGAAAUGAUCCUACCAUUAAAGAGGAAGGCAAGUCAAUUUAAGGAAUACAUGUUCAAAGUUUUCCUCUGUUAUGUAUAAUGAUGACCCCCAUCAAACAUAAUGUUAGCAAUCUUUACACCUUUUAAUUUAUUCUGAUUAUUUCUGUCUACAUGUGUGAAUUUGCCUUCAUUAGUUUCAGAAAAGAGCGAUGAUGUAUCGGUCACGGGGCGGCAGCACGAGACUCCGCAAACUAGUCUGUAAGCAAAGUAGACAAAGGCAUCAAGGUUGCGGCCUGCCAUCAUUGUUAUUUUGCUUAAGGGACUGAAUAUGUAUCAUGUAGAAAUAUUAGCAUUUCCCUUAUAUCUACCAAAACUGCUUGUUUCACAGACUGCAGUUUUGUUUUGGUCCGAUGUGGUGUGCAAAUACAACCGUAUCGGCAAUGGGUUGUGGGGCAUUAACAUUUGUAACUCUAAUUUUGUUUUGACAGACUGUGAAAAGAGCGUUGCGAACAUCACCAAUCUACAGGAAGACACAGUCCAGUAAUGGGUGUCAGAAGUUCAGUAGUGAAUGACAGGAAGGACUGAUGCAUGUACUGAGACGGGACGUGAGGGCCUACUCUGCGUGCUCAGAGUUCAAGCCCAGCAGGGUGCAGCGGGCCUGACAUAUUCCGGAACAGCAGCACAGUCUUUGGAUGACUCCUCUGAAGAUGAAAACAUGGCGAGGUACUUCUCCACUGAUGAAGAACUGUGAGGGCUGUGAUUAGCUACACUCUCUUGCUACAAGGCUACUCUUGCUACUCCCUGGCAGCCUUAGGAAGGCAUUAGCUUGCUGUUGGGUAGCUUCCCUGGAAGCAUACGUGUGUAUGUAUACAUACACACGUACAAACGCACUAUUGAGACGUUUUGUUUUUUAUCAUAUAUUCUCAGGAAGGACUGAUGCAUGUACUGAGACGGGACGUGAGGGCCUACUCUGCGUGCUCAGAGUUCAAGCCCAGCAGGGUGCAGCGGGCCUGACAUAUUCCGGAACAGCAGCACAGUCUUUGGAUGACUCCUCUGAAGAUGAAAACAUGGCGAGUUCUUCUCAAGAGAAGCAGUACAGGUGUGCCUCAGCUCCACGGUCCCUCCUGCAGCCUCCGCUCCUGAUGCUAACCUCAUGUCUCCAUCACACCAAGCAGCAGACCUGGAGUGACAGACCUUUCUCCAGAGCUGCUCCCUCCCUCUGAAACCCCCCUCUCCAAAACACUAUUUGUGGCGUUUUUAAAGUCUUAUUUGCAUGAGAAUUGUUGAUCAUAACAUUUCCAGCAGAUGCCUUAAUGUAAUGUUUUUGAACAAUAAAUGACAUUUAUCAUAA